AUACAGAGGGUGCGAGCGUUAAUCGGAAUUACUGGGCGUAAAGCGCGCGUAGGCGGCUUAUUAAGUCAGAUGUGAAAUCCCCGGGCUCAACCUGGGAACUGCAUCUGAUACUGGUAAGCUAGAGUUUUGGAGAGGGAAGUAGAAUUUCAGGUGUAGCGGUGAAAUGCAUAGAGAUCUGAAGGAAUACCAGUGGCGAAGGCGACUUCCUGGCCAAAAACUGACGCUGAGGUGCGAAAGCGUGGGUGGCAAACGGGAUUAGAUACCCUAGUAGUCC
rnacentral:rRNA from 1 species